GAUGAACGCUGGCGGCGUGCCUAAUACAUGCAAGUCGAGCGAACGGACGAGAAGCUUGCUUCUCUGAUGUUAGCGGCGGACGGGUGAGUAACACGUGGAUAACCUACCUAUAAGACUGGGAUAACUUCGGGAAACCGGAGCUAAUACCGGAUAAUAUUUUGAACCGCAUGGUUCAAAAGUAAAAGACGGUCUUGCUGUCACUUAUAGAUGGAUCCGCGCUGCAUUAGCUAGUUGGUAAGGUAACGGCUUACCAAGGCAACGAUGCAUAGCCGACCUGAGAGGGUGAUCGGCCACACUGGAACUGAGACACGGUCCAGACUCCUACGGGAGGCAGCAGUAGGGAAUCUUCCGCAAUGGGCGAAAGCCUGACGGAGCAACGCCGCGUGAGUGAUGAAGGUCUUCGGAUCGUAAAACUCUGUUAUUAGGGAAGAACAUAUGUGUAAGUAACUGUGCACAUCUUGACGGUACCUAAUCAGAAAGCCACGGCUAACUACGUGCCAGCAGCCGCGGUAAUACGUAGGUGGCAAGCGUUAUCCGGAAUUAUUGGGCGUAAAGCGCGCGUAGGCGGUUUUUUAAGUCUGAUGUGAAAGCCCACGGCUCAACCGUGGAGGGUCAUUGGAAACUGGAAAACUUGAGUGCAGAAGAGGAAAGUGGAAUUCCAUGUGUAGCGGUGAAAUGCGCAGAGAUAUGGAGGAACACCAGUGGCGAAGGCGACUUUCUGGUCUGUAACUGACGCUGAUGUGCGAAAGCGUGGGGAUCAAACAGGAUUAGAUACCCUGGUAGUCCACGCCGUAAACGAUGAGUGCUAAGUGUUAGGGGGUUUCCGCCCCUUAGUGCUGCAGCUAACGCAUUAAGCACUCCGCCUGGGGAGUACGACCGCAAGGUUGAAACUCAAAGGAAUUGACGGGGACCCGCACAAGCGGUGGAGCAUGUGGUUUAAUUCGAAGCAACGCGAAGAACCUUACCAAAUCUUGACAUCCUUUGACAACUCUAGAGAUAGAGCUUUCCCCUUCGGGGGACAAAGUGACAGGUGGUGCAUGGUUGUCGUCAGCUCGUGUCGUGAGAUGUUGGGUUAAGUCCCGCAACGAGCGCAACCCUUAAGCUUAGUUGCCAUCAUUAAGUUGGGCACUCUAAGUUGACUGCCGGUGACAAACCGGAGGAAGGUGGGGAUGACGUCAAAUCAUCAUGCCCCUUAUGAUUUGGGCUACACACGUGCUACAAUGGACAAUACAAAGGGCAGCGAAACCGCGAGGUCAAGCAAAUCCCAUAAAGUUGUUCUCAGUUCGGAUUGUAGUCUGCAACUCGACUACAUGAAGCUGGAAUCGCUAGUAAUCGUAGAUCAGCAUGCUACGGUGAAUACGUUCCCGGGUCU
rnacentral:rRNA from 1 species